rnacentral:rRNA from 1 species
AAAAGGCGGCGUAAGCUGUCGCUAAAGGAUGGACCCGCGGUGCAUUAGCUAGUUGGUAAGGUAACGGCUUACCAAGGCGACGAUGCAUAGCCGAGUUGAGAGACUGAUCGGCCACAUUGGGACUGAGACACGGCCCAAACUCCUACGGGAGGCAGCAGUAGGGAAUCUUCCACAAUGGGCGAAAGCCUGAUGGAGCAACGCCGCGUGAGUGAAGAAGGUUUUCGGAUCGUAAAGCUCUGUUGUUGGUGAAGAAGGAUAGAGGUAGUAACUGGCCCCUAUUUGACGGUAAUCAACCAGAAAGUCACGGCUAACUACGUGCCAGCAGCCGCGGUAAUACGUAGGUGGCAAGCGUUGUCCGGAUUUAUUGGGCGUAAAGCGAGCGCAGGCGGAAAGAUAAGUCUGAUGUGAAAGCCCCCGGCUUAACCGAGGAAUUGCAUCGGAAACUGUGUUUCUUGAGUGCAGAAGAGGAGAGUGGAGCUCCAUGUGUAGCGGUGGAAUGCGUAGAUAUAUGGAAGAACACCAGUGGCGAAGGCGGCUCUCUGGUCUGUAACUGACGCUGAGGCUCGAAAGCAUGGGUAGCGAACAGGAUUAGAUACCCUGGUAGUCCAUGCCGUAAACGAUGAGUGCUAAGUGUUGGGAGGUUUCCGCCUCUCA